rnacentral:rRNA from 1 species
CCUACGUGAGGCAGCAGUGGGGAAUAUUGGACAAUGGGCGAAAGCCUGAUCCAGCCAUGCCGCGUGUGUGAAGAAGGCCUUCGGGUUGUAAAGCACUUUCAGUGGGGAAGAAAGCCUUGGGGCUAAUACCCUCGAGGAAGGACAUCACCCACAGAAGAAGCACCGGCUAACUCCGUGCCAGCAGCCGCGGUAAUACGGAGGGUGCGAGCGUUAAUCGGAAUUACUGGGCGUAAAGCGCGCGUAGGCGGUCUGAUAAGCCGGUUGUGAAAGCCCCGGGCUCAACCUGGGAACGGCAUCCGGAACUGUCAGGCUAGAGUGCAGGAGAGGAAGGUAGAAUUCCCGGUGUAGCGGUGAAAUGCGUAGAGAUCGGGAGGAAUACCAGUGGCGAAGGCGGCCUUCUGGACUGACACUGACGCUGAGGUGCGAAAGCGUGGGUAGCAAACAGGAUUAGAUACCCGUGUAGUC